ensembl:lncRNA
AAUUAGAAUUAGCUGCUGCUGAUGUGUUUGGUUUGAUUAUGAACUUUUGGGGUCAGGAAAUUAAGUGAUUGAAGAGCAGACAAUAAGGCAAACCAAAGGCUUUCUUAUGCUGAAAUUGCCCCUUGCAGAAUACGCAUUUGGUGUCUUGGAAGUCCCUCCGUGGCGUCAGUGAAGGAAUCCCAUUUCAUGGAAUGAGAGGCCAAUCUUUAAUUGCUUUCCAGGGAAUUUCUGAUGAUCUCAGGUGAGCGCAGAAAACAGCCUGACUAAUGGAAACAUGAUCUCAAGAGAUUCCUUCAGGAUCAUACUUAAUCCUGGUUUGGACUGUGGACAUAGCAUCGCCUGCAGCAGAUGUUUGCUCCUGGCAUGGCUGCAAACUGCAUGAGCUCCAUCACCGACAAUCCAGUUCUCGGGAUGCAUCGCCAGCAGCUUGGACACGGAGAAGCUGUGACACAAACUCAGCAGGACAGUGGAGUGUAUUCUGCUGCUCGGAUAUUAUGGAACAGACCGGUCAACCUCGUCUGGAGAGGCACUCGAUAGGAAAAUCAGCUCUAUGAGGCUACGAUUACCGCGGUUACCACAAUGGAUCUACACAUUGUUUGACUUUUUCUAAAUUGAACCUGGAUUAAUAUUUCCCUGUAUAUACAUCUGCUUUUGAUAUUCAGUGUUUAUUCCCGCUGUUGCUCAUUCCCUGCACUUAUAUACUGUGUUAUUCUGGAUACAGUAUCAACAAAUGCUGGAACAGUAAACGGAAAAUAAUCAGCUGUUAUUUCCUCUUUAGGUCUAUUAUUUUUACAGGAGGAAGGCAGCACUUACACCAAUCUCGUAAGGAGCAAACUAAAUGUUUUCCUGUUGAAUUAAUUAACACACAUAGGAAUUGUCACAGGGAUUACUCAAUUAAUAAACAUUCAACAUCUUCCAAUUAAGAAAAGAUAAUCCUUUAUUAGUCCAGCAGCAGGGAAAUUACAACAAUUGCCUUCACAAUGAAGCCAUUGAACCAAAGGUGCUUAUGAAUACAACUAUUGACAACUCUUUGGGAGUCUUGUUCAUUCUGGUUGAGGAAUCUUUUCCAACUCUUUGAUCUGAUAAAGACGUAUUGCUUCAUCGGACUUGUCUGUGUAACCCUCGAACAGAAAUAAAAAAGAAAAGGUGUAAUCAA